rnacentral:lncRNA from 10 species
CUGAGAUUGUGCACUUCUAAGGAGAUGCCAGGUGGUGCUAAUUCUGCUGCACUGGACACCACACUUAGAGUGGCGAGGUCACUAAAUAAUAGGAGCAAAAGGAUCGUGAGAACACCGACAUCAGUGAGAAGGAGGCUGGCUGCAGAGACCAUGAAAAUGAAAUCUAUGCAUGGAGUGCAAUCUUGCUGAGAACAAUUUGUUUCCUUUCUAUAUUGUCUCUCCAUGCCCUGCUCGCUCCCUUCAGGUACUAAUCAUAAUUAUAGUGCUUGAAGAUUCAGUGAAUUUCAUCAUUCCUUGUUACCAGCUAUGAAAAUCAUUGAUCGUUUCAAGGAUUGGCUAUUUGUUGAGAAGACUUAUUAGGGAAGCCCUAAUGAAUUCUGAGAGCAUGGUCCCUGGACAAGCAGCAUUAGAAUCACUUGGAAGCUUGUCAGAAAUGCAAAUUUUCAGGCCCCACUCAGACCUACUGAAUUAGAAACACAAGGAAUGGGGCCCAGCAAUCUUGGUUAACAAGCCUGCCAGGUGAUUCUGAUGCCUGGUCAGGUUUGAGAUUGGCUGUUCUGGAGUACCAUCCUUCAUCUCACCUCUUACUGUACCAAAGGAAGUGGAGUAGGGGUUGGGGAGACAAGUUGUCCUCAGUUCAGAAUAUUUGGAAUAUAAACCUACAGAGAUAACUAAGCUUAGUAGAAACAGCACAGGCUGAGAUAAACCUUGGCUUAAAUUCUGGCUCUGCCUACAUGUCUUUGAGCAUAGCAUUAAUACACCCUAAAAUGUUAUUAACCAUUUUGUGACUCAGUGUCCUUAAUGCUUUGCAGAAGCUAAA